rnacentral:lncRNA from 10 species
GUUCUUAGAGCUCCCGAGAUGGUGGCGGCCGGCUCCCAAGGUGGCAGCAAGACUUUUGUUCUCUGACCUGGGGUUCUUGGCCUCCUGGAUUCCAAAGAAUGGAACCUUGGGGCCAUGCGAUUACUGGUGUGAUUACUGUCUCCUGACUGGACCCUGACUGCUAUAGAAUUGGUACCUGAAAGUGUCACAGAAGACGGAUUCUAAAAGAUGGGUUUUGGGAUUGGGUGAAAUGUUGAGGUUUUUGCUGAUGGGAAUUAGAUGCUAGUAACCCAUGCAUGCAGCAACAUUACAAUUAAGCUAUCACCUCUGAUUAAUUGCAAUUAAAUGCUAAUUAGGUAACUGUUGUGGGAGCUUAUACAGCUGCUGCACUUGACCAUUAUAGAUUCUUCCAAGUGUGUUGGAGUGCUUAGAGAA